UCACUUGGCCCAAUCCACCGCCUCCUCCAAUGCCGCGUCCGCUCUAGGUGUCGGCUGCGAGCCUGCGAUGGUGUGCGGAGCAGAAACCGCAUCCCCAGUCCCCACCUCCUGGCUCCUACGGCCACAACUUCCUCCACUCGCACAACCGGGCCCCAAUCCUCUUUGCACGCCAUGGCAGACGUACGCGACCUCGAUUCUCAAUCCCAUCGCCACCACCGAGCAGACCUUUCUCAGUGUUGGCGCCACCUCCACAGCCUUGAUCCCUGCCCCAGCCCCAAUCCUCGACAACGUCAAGGUUGAGUAGCUCGAACGAACUUCUUGAUCCCGCGACCGAGCCCGGCCCCUCACUCCCACCUCACCCUCCACGCCUCGUCAUCGUCUCCUCUCCUACCGCGCACUCGUGCCUCCCUCGGCAUGGCAUCGAUGCCUAGAGCGUACGAAGCAACAGCGCCCGACACUCUCGGCCUCGACCUCCUGCUGCAGCGUGAGAGAAGAUCGAGGAAACGAGGACCUGGGUUGGUUGCAGAGGCUGCUACGCUGUCGUCGGCCGCCACCGCUAGAGAGAGGCCACAUGAGGUGAUGUCGUCAAGGGCGAGCAGCAGCACGGCUGACGUCAAGGCCAAUACCUGCACAAGCUUGUUGAUGAGCUCCAUGAACUUGGCCACCUCUUCCUUGUCGAUGAGCUCCUAAUCUCCUUCUAUCAGUCCAUCAUCUAAUUUUUGUUUGCUUCCUGAUUUAUUAGCGAUGCAAGAGUUGAGAAGGUAAGAUUUUCUAGCUUAUUUUUGUCUGCACUGAGAUAAAACUUUCAUUUAAUCCGAUUUCUGUUCAGUAAGAGAGGUGGCUGAUAACCAUGCUUGAUAAUUGACACAUCUGAGAACAUUCUAAUAACAAUAUACAAAAUGUACAACUACCAUAGCUUUUAUGCUUUCUGAUACUUACACACCUACGUUAAUUUGCUAUCAAUCGGAAGUAGUUGGAUUAAGAGCUGAGGUGAUACACUGGUUCUUUUGUUAGUGAGGAAAAUUUCAGGGUGCAUCUCAAGCGUUACAAUGUUUCAUGCUAUGAAAAUUUUCCGGUCUCCAUGUUCUUUGCUAUUUGCUCUGCUAAAUAAAGAAUUACAACUUGAAUGCAGUAGUCUGUUGCCACAACAUACCAGGCAUGCACAAUUCAUUGGAUCUCUGUUCAGUAUUGUAUCACUUGAGAUAUAAUGAGUUGUGCUCAUUUAAAAAUGUGAUAAUCUAUUGCUUUAGAUGUGGGAACAUAAAUGAUAACAUUGUACUCUUGUGAUUUUAAUUUCAGCACAAUCUUCUUUUAAAAUGUCUAUUAUAUGGAUGUUUACAUCCAGUGGCGGCCGUCUCUCUCUCCCUCCUCGCAGGCGAUGCCAUGUGCACGGCUGUGGCGGUAGCCCUGCUGCCCCCAAGAUGUGCUGGGAUGGGGGCGCGACUGUGGAGGAGGAGGUGAGGGCCGAGGUAGUGACGAACGAGCAGCUCGUCGAGGAGGCGUGAUAGAUGGUCAACAAGAGCUUCUUCCCCCAUGCCGGCAGCGGCCCAGGGUCGCCGAAGAUGUGGAUGAUUCAUAAGUUAAUUUGACCCAACGCAGCAAAAGAAGCAGGAUAUUCUCCAAGGCACAAUCAAACCCUGCUCUAAAGCCCAUGAUAUUAUUCGGAAAAUGCUAGUAGGCCUUGGUGAUCCAUACACAAGGUUCCUUUCUCCCUCAGAAGUGAAAUCGGAUCUUUGUUGUGAAGUACGCCAGACACCUAUGAAACAUGGUAGUCAAGAGAAGAACACAACAGAGCAGGGUUCAGAAAAAGGCUCCGCGACACUUCUUGCCCAGAACAUGCAUUCAGACUUUGGCAAAAAGAUUGCCGGACUACAUAUUCCAAUACAAAUGUACGCCUGUUCAUAUAUGCUCACCGUAUCACUCGUGUAACUGCUCCAUGACCUUCCACCCGGCCACUCCACCAAGAUGCCAGCUGAACGAACAAAUCCCACAGCACGAGAACUCUUGGCACGCUCAGAUCAAAA